AACGAACGCUGGCGGCAUGCCUAACACAUGCAAGUCGAACGAGUCCUUCGGGUCUAGUGGCGCACGGGUGCGUAACGCGUGGGAACCUGCCCUUAGGUUCGGAAUAACUCCCCGAAAGGGGUGCUAAUACCGGAUAAUGUCUUCGGACCAAAGAUUUAUCGCCUUUGGAUGGGCCCGCGUUGGAUUAGCUAGUUGGUAGGGUAAAAGCCUACCAAGGCGACGAUCCAUAGCUGGUCUGAGAGGAUGAUCAGCCACACUGGGACUGAGACACGGCCCAGACUCCUACGGGAGGCAGCAGUGGGGAAUAUUGGACAAUGGGCGAAAGCCUGAUCCAGCAAUGCCGCGUGAGUGAUGAAGGCCUUAGGGUUGUAAAGCUCUUUUACCCGGGAUGAUAAUGACAGUACCGGGAGAAUAAGCUCCGGCUAACUCCGUG
rnacentral:rRNA from 1 species